UACGGAGGAUGCGAGCGUUAUCCGGAUUCAUUGGGUUUAAAGGGUGCGUAGGCGGACUGAUAAGUCAGCGGUGAAAACCUGCAGCUUAACUGUAGAAUUGCCAUUGAUACUGUCGGUCUUGAGUUCGGUUAAGGUAGGCGGAAUGUGUAAUGUAGCGGUGAAAUGCUUAGAUAUUACACAGAACACCGAUUGCGAAGGCAGCUUGCUGGACCGAUACUGACGCUGAUGCACGAAAGCGUGGGGAGCGAACAGG
rnacentral:rRNA from 1 species